GUAUGUGUGUGUGUGUAUGUGUGUGUGUGUGUGUGUGUGUGUGUAUAUACACACACACACACACACACACACACACAUAUAUAUAU